UAGCGGAUGACGGGUCCGGAAAAAGAGAACGGCAAGGACCCAACACUGCUUUAUAAGUUGGAAGAAGUAUGAAGGGUCAGUGUAAAACUCCAUCCCUUCCCUGUGGUCAUCCCUGUGAGAACAGCAAAGCAAAUCCAGAGAAAAGCUCUCAACCCGACUCACCCUCCUCUACUGUAGAGUCCAGCUGGGUGACCUUGACAGCCAGCCUGUCAAUACGGUCCUGCAACGAGUUGGCCCGCAAGUGAAAGGUGUUGGCCUCAUUGAAAAGUUCUCCGAAGAUGUCCUCAGCAUGUUUGCCUAGAGGAGGGAGAGACCUUUUCUGUGUAUCUGGUGUCUUGGGAGACUUUAUUAAUUCAUUUCACUUAGGUAUUUAUGUAUUCAUGCUAUUUUUCUUGCUUUCUUUAAUAUCCCACUACUGGGAGUCUGGAGCUUAUUUUCCCAUUUUUC